AAAAAAACCAGGUGUUGUCGGUUCCGAGGUUACAUCUUCUACUACCUCUACUAAAGAAGAGAACGUGAAGAGUACUGCUUCUACGAACGACUUCUAUGUUGAGUACCGCGUAACGGAAUAUAUAACCAAGUCUUUGAUGAGGAUAACAACUUCCGUUGACUGUUCCUAGGUUGCCCCGUUUCGAGCCUUUUGGCUGGUGGGUUGUAUUCUUCGAUGAUGCAUGAUGUUUCGACGUAUACGACAAUACGACGUGAACCUGUAGUGCAAGUUGAAGGAAUGUUCAAAGUCCAACUAAUAGAGGAGAGGCUGCAAUAUGUCCCCUCUUCUGCACCUCUAGGUUAUGUGAAUUGAUAUGUUCUACGAUGACGAUUCGACGUAUAUAACAAUAAGACGUUAACCAGUAGUCUAACUUGGAACGUUCAAACGACGAUCAAUGGAGGACUACAAAAAUGCCAGGUUUACCUUCUCCUCACCGUGUAUAGAACACCCAUAACCACCUUGUCUGCGCUCGUUCUAGAGACUAGCUUUCAAGUUCACCGUUGAUGACCGGAUUUAUUAACAUUUAACAAACCUUUUCUAGUACCUUGCCUACUAGUUAGACUACUCUUCUGGACGUUAAAACUUAUGUCUCAUGAACGAAGGAAAUGAUCGAUCUCAUAAAUUCAUGGGCGUUGGACAUAACCGCUACGACAAAAUUAAUGUUGUGGUAGCACGUUUAGAUUUCGAUAUAACAUGACGACUAACCCCACAUUUAAUAAACGACAUGUCGUAGCAAUCACACAACACUCUUGUGGCGGCCCGUUCGGAAGCAUCAAGAAAACGACAUACCGACGACAAAUUAAACAAUACUCUUUGUAUACAAUACC
rnacentral:rRNA from 1 species